CGUGCCACCCAACGAGAUAACUGUCGUGUGUUUUGGUGUGGAAGGCACAUACUUUCCGAGUCUCCACUUUUGCACUUGGUAGUUUAAAUGCUUCAAGGUAGCUUAGAUUUGCAGCAUGGGAGUUCUGAAAGUUCAAAUAUGAGAGAUGUUAGACAAGGUUCAAGCCCAGGUUCAAAAGUCACUAGGGGAGUAUGUGUAGCAUGCACUUCCAUACAGCAAGAUUUUUCUAACCUGACAAUGGUUUUUCCUCUUAGAUGUAAGUUCUGCUCCUGCCUCUACUAGUCUAUUUGUACUAAACAUACAGCUACAGUCCAUGCCACUUGGAUUUUUUGCUUCUUUUACCAAUACAUUUUCUUUUGGCAACAUGUAUCCAAUCACCAGUGUAGUAUCUAACAUGCAUAUGAAUUUUUGGCUGGAAAAUUUUCUUCCUGCAGCUUUGUACACUGAGUAAUCAACCUCAGUCCGAGCUCUCUAGUUAGGCAGCAAUGUAGCAAUUUGUCCUCCAU